UUUUUGGACUCCUCUUCUUCAAUUGAUCCAUAUGCAUCUUCCUUUAAGAGAGCGAUUGCAUCAUCAAUGUUAACUCGAGACCUUCGAGCGCUCUUUUCACGUAGUUCGUCGAGUGCAUCACUAAUUUGCAUUUGUCGUUUAGUGUCUAAUGUUUUUUGUUCUAAUUUUUCCAUUUCGUCCUCCUCAGGAAUGUCAUUGCGUUCAGCUAACUCAUUUUCUUCAUAUUCUUGUAAUCUUUUUUCAUGCCACGGCUCAUAAUUCCUGGAAGCUCCACUCUCUGCUGCAUAAUCUGCAUGUUUU